rnacentral:rRNA from 1 species
UAGGGAAUCUUCGGCAAUGGGGGGAACCCUGACCGAGCAACGCCGCGUGAGUGAAGAAGGUUUUCGGAUCGUAAAGCUCUGUUGUUAAGGAAGAACGAGUGUGAGAAUGGAAAGUUCAUGCUGUGACGGUACUUUACCAGAAAGGGACGGCUAACUACGUGCCAGCAGCCGCGGUAAUACGUAGGUCCCGAGCGUUGUCCGGAUUUAUUGGGCGUAAAGCGAGCGCAGGCGGUUAGAAAAGUCUGAAGUGAAAGGCAGUGGCUCAACCAUUGUAGGCUUUGGAAACUGUUUAACUUGAGUGCAGAAGGGGAGAGUGGAAUUCCAUGUGUAGCGGUGAAAUGCGUAGAUAUAUGGAGGAACACCGGUGGCGAAAGCGGCUCUCUGGUCUGUAACUGACGCUGAGGCUCGAAAGCGUGGGGAGCGAACAGG